GAGAGAAGCGUCUUGUUAGUGGAGAGAUUGCAUGAACAAUUUGUAAGCAGGGUACCCUGAGUUGUUUAUAGAAAUAUAAAUAGGUAAUCCAUCCAUUAUCUCUAUUGUUUCGUCAUCUUUUUUUGACUCAUUCAUGUCUGAUUAAUCCCCCUGCUUAUAGGAUUUUGUGGGACGAUCAGUCUAGCUUUGUACUAUAUCAUACUGUAUACUUAUAUAUCAUUGUACGCGUACACUUCGA
rnacentral:sRNA from 1 species